rnacentral:rRNA from 1 species
UACGAAGGGGGCUAGCGUUGUUCGGAAUUACUGGGCGCAAAGGGCGCGUAGGCGGUGCUGUAAGUCAGGCGUGAAAUCCCCGGGCUCAACCUGGGAAUUGCGUUUGAUACUGCGGCGCUGGAAUGCGGGAGAGGAUGGCGGAAUUCCCAGUGUAGAGGUGAAAUUCGUAGAUAUUGGGAAGAACACCGGUGGCGAAGGCGGCCAUCUGGCCCGUAAUUGACGCUGAGGCGCGAAAGCGUGGGGAGCAAACAGG